AGAGUUUGAUCCUGGCUCAGAACGAACGCUGGCGGCGCGUUUUAAGCAUGCAAGUCGAACGGUAGAGAGGUGCUUGCACCUCUUGAGAGUGGCGAACGGGUGAGUAACGCGUAGGUGAUCUACCUUUAAGUUGGGGAUAGCUCAUGGAAACAUGGGGUGUAAUACCGAAUGUACUUAUGGAUUUUGUUCUAUAAGGAAAGGAGCGUUUGCUCCGCUUGAAGAUGAGCCUGCGUAUGAUUAGCUAGUUGGUAGGGUAAAGGCCUACCAAGGCGACGAUCAUUAGCCGGCCUGAGAGGGUGACCGGCCACAUUGGGACUGAGACACGGCCCAGACUCCUACGGGAGGCAGCAGCUAAGAAUCUUCCGCAAUGGACGAAAGUCUGACGGAGCGACGCCGCGUGUGCGAAGAAUGUCGAGAGAUUGUAAAGCACUUUUAUAUGUGAGGAAUAAGCUCUUGAGGUAAUGCGAGAGUGAUGACGUUAUGCUGGGAAUAAGUCCGGCCAAUUACGUGCCAGCAGCCGCGGUAACACGUAAGGAGCGAGCGUUGUUCGGAAUUAUUGGGCCGUAAAGGGCUCGUAGGUGGAGAUCCAAGUCUCUCGUUAAAGAUCGGGGCUUAACCCCGGGAAAGCGAGGGAAACUGGCAAACUAGAAUCUAGGAGGGGAAACUGGAAUUUCAGGUGUAGGGGUGAAAUCUGUAGAUAUCUGAAAGAACACCGGUGGCGAAGGCGAGUUUCUGGCCAUAGAUUGACGCUGAGGCGCGAAAGCGUGGGGAGCGAACAGGAUUAGAUACCCUGGUAGUCCACGCUGUAAACGAUGUGCACUAGGUGUUGGUGGGUUAACCAUUCAGUGCCGUAGCUAACGCGUUAAGUGCACCGCCUGGGGAGUACGGUCGCAAGAUUAAAACUCAAAGGAAUAGACGGGGACCCGCACAAGCGGUGGAGCAUGUGGUUUAAUUCGACGAUACGCGAGAAACCUUACCAGGGUUUGACAUAUUUAUGAUCGCUGCAGAGAUGCAGUUUUCCCUUCGGGGACAUUUAUACAGGUGCUGCAUGGUUGUCGUCAGCUCGUGCCGUGAGGUGUUGGGUUAAGUCCCGCAACGAGCGCAACCCCUAUUGUCUGUUACCAUCAUUAAGUUGGGGACUCAUGCGAGACUGCCGGUGACAAACCGGAGGAAGGUGGGGACGACGUCAAGUCAUCAUGGCCCUUAUGACCUGGGCUACACACGUGCUACAAUGGCCGGUACAGAGUGAUGCGAAGCCGCGAGGUGGAGCUAACCGCAAAAAGCCGGUCUCAGUUCGGAUUGGAGUCUGAAACUCGACUCCAUGAAGGUGGAAUCGCUAGUAAUCGCAUAUCAGCAUGAUGCGGUGAAUACGUUCCCGGGCCUUGUACACACCGCCCGUCACACCACCCGAGUUGGGGGUACCCGAAGUCGUUAGUCUAACCGUAAGGAGGACGGCGCCGAAGGUAUGCCUGGUAAGGGGGGUGAAGUCGUAACAAGGUAAC
rnacentral:rRNA from 1 species